rnacentral:rRNA from 1 species
CGCCUUUUGAUGUACUAAUAUAAAAGGUCCUGCCUGCCCAGUGACACCUGUUCAACGGCCGCGGUAUUAUGACCGUGCAAAGGUAGCGUAAUCACUUGUCCUUUAAAUAAAGACCAGUAUGAACGGCAAGACGAGAGCCUAACUGUCUCUCCAUAUUAGUCAAUGAAAUUGAUUUUUCCGUGCAGAAGCGGAAAUAUUAUUAUAAGACGAGAAGACCCUGUGGAGCUUCAAGUCAAAACUAGCUAUUUAAUAUAGUAUAAUUAAAGACUUUAGGUUGGGGCGACCACGAGGUAUAAUAAAACCCUCAAGAUAAAACCACAGAGGGACACUUCAAAUAAACAAGAUAUUGAUAUAUUGACCCAAAAAUUGAUCAACGAACCAAGUUACCCCAGGGAUAACAGCGCAAUCCACUCAAAGAGUCCUUAUCGACGAGCGGGUUUACGACCUCGAUGUUGGAUCAGGACCCCCAAAUAAUGUAACAAUUAUUAAAGGUUCGUUUGUUCAACGAUUAAAGUCCU